ensembl:lncRNA
GAAAAUUUAAGUGAGACUUUUUGAAUAGGGUGGAAGGAAGAGCACAGUAAUCUUGCAUCUGUAAUGCAAGAGAAGAGAUGUGAAGGUCAUCCCAAGUCUUCCUACAACCCUGAAGUGAAGCCUGAAGAAUGCUACAGUGCUGCAAAGUUUUGAUGUCAGCAGGAUAACAAUUGCAUCAGUGUGCACUGUCAGCCAGGACCUCUAGCUGCCAGGAGUUGCUAGGAUAUCUCUCACAGGGCCGCCAAGUCUCACAAUUCCCAUGAGAUUUUUAGCUAUAAUUUUAAAACCUGUUGUUAUGGAGAAAGCCUUGAAAAUUAGAAGAAGGAUGUCUCAGAGAAAUAGAAGGAGAUGACAGUUUGUGGUUUUGGAAUUGCUCAAGAAAAUAUUUCAAGUCUCCAUCACUAUGACUCUGAGUUUGGAGCUAGUUCAUGCUGUACACUGAAUGCUACAUGAGAUAGGCUGAAUACAAGAAGUCAGUGAAAUAAAUCUAUGUUAACAGCAUCUCUAUCUUGCAGAAUGGAGGCAAGCACAAAGAAUCUGAUCUUCUGAGGGCUGCUUAUAGAACUUCUGGCUCCAGGUACCUUGAAGGAGGCUCAGCUGCUCUGUAAAUAGACACAUCUGGUCCCGUUCCAGACUUGGGACGCUGUGUUUUAAUCUAUCUUCACAUGGAAGCCAGCAUGGCAAGUGGCAGCCACUCUGUAACCAUAAGUUCUUGUACCUGUGUUUCUUCUUCUCCUGCAUGGCAAGAACAGUGAUGUGCCCAGGGAAGUACUAGCUAACUUAGGAAUGUUUGUAACCUUUUCUGAGGGUUUCUUCCUCUCAAAGCUCAAGGGACUGAGACACCUCAGAAUUAAGAUCAUUCUAGUGAAGGACAACCUAAAUGUGAAGGAAAUCAGUUUUCAGAUGUUCUCAUCUACUUUGUUUCAAAACCAUUUAUCAAACACUUUGCUUUAAAUGUGAUCCAAGAGCACUCAGGCAGUGGUCCCAGAAUACUCCCGAGCAGCCAGGCCAUCUGGCUGGAGCAGUGUGUGCAAGGUCUGGACAUGUUGUAUGUAAUAUGAGGUUUACCUCACAUAAUGAUUCUUCAGGAGCUGAGCGGGCUCCUGGUCAUCAAAAAUACAUAGUGAGAGAGAUAGUCACAGACACUGACCUAGUGUAGGAGAAGGUGGCUGCAAACCCAACAUAAGCUUAAGGUCAGCUCCUGUGCUGGCUCACUGCUUAUGGCAUGAGGCAUCUUCUCUUUCCCGUGAAGCUCCCUGCUGUGGGCAUUGAGCCUUCUCAAGGGGCCCAGCUACAGCACUGGGGACCCUGGACACCUCACAGGCUCCAAGCCCCUCUAGGACAAAGCAGCAUAGACGAUUCUGGUGCUGAAGAAAGGUUAAGGCUGGGGCUGCACCCUCAAGGCAGCCUCAACAGCAGAUGAAGUUACUUUCCUUCCUACCAGCACACUCUUCACACACCUUCUGCUGGAUGUUUGUUCCACAUGCAGCAGCUCUUCACCUGCUUCAAACUCAGAGGUCUCCUAAAGGCACGUGCUCCUGCCUCUGGGCCCUCCACCACUUGUAAACUACCUGCAGUUUGUGCUUUCUGUGCAGAAAAGAAAACAACAGUGAGAACUAAUGCACGUGUGUGAGAGGAAUGCAUGUGUGUGAGAAGCCUCAAAGCAGCACCAAUGUUUUUUAUCUUCUCAAGCCUUCUGCUUAUCUCCUUUUUAGAGCUUCUCCAUUCCACCUCAGUCUGACACUGUGCCCCACUGCAGUCAUGCAAAACCCAAUAGCACUCUGGUCUCCUAAGCCUCUUUCAUUUAUUUUUUUUUUCCAGAAAUUUUCCAUUUUAUUCCACGUUAUGACCUUUGAAUAGCUCCCAUAUAACCUGCAGGUGCACUUGCUCCUAACCUCCUAUUUCAGCAUAACAGCAUAGGAGCAGAAGGGAACCUUUUGAUCAACAAAUCCAGUCCUCUGCUCAGACAAGAAACCAUGUCAUAUAAUCUUUGACUCGAUCUGAUUUAGCUCAGUCUUAACAUAAGUUGGCUUUUGUGCCCCGUGCUUCCUUCUACCCAGCUGUUUUUGCUGCUUCAGUGAUGAAAAAGCCCCCGACUUCCAAAAUUACCCUGAUAGUUAUUAUUUGGCUCUCCACUAGCUCCAAGGUAUUUCUGCAAUGAACAACUACUGCUUUGCUUCAGGAGGCUGAACAAGACAAGCUGCCUUUAUCUCCUCUGGAAAUACGGGCUACCCAAUCCCUUACUCUCCUUAUACCCGCCAGGUCUGUAUGGCUCUCUCCUUAGGAGCUCGUCAGGCAGAGGUAAAUUGGUGCAGUUGUCUGCUAGAGUUGUUAUUAGAGAUGAUUCUGAGAUACAAUAGAAUGUGGAUGAGUAUCUUCAGAACUAAGGGAGCUAGGACCCAGGCGUGUGCUCUGUGCUUUGCCUCUUAAUUAUUAAUAGUUAUUAUUUAUUAUUGAUUAUAGUGGUUUGCCCAAAACACUAAUGAAAAUGUAG